AUCCAAAACGACUCUCGGCAACGGAUAUCUCGGCUCCCGCAUCGAUGAAGAACGUAGCGAAAUGCGAUACUUGGUGUGAAUUGCAGAAUCCCGUGAACCAUCGAGUCUUUGAACGCAAGUUGCGCCCGAAGCCAUUAGGCCGAGGGCACGCCUGCCUGGGUGUCGCAC
rnacentral:rRNA from 1 species